AAAAGAGUAAGAAAAAGAAGAAGUGGAAGUCUAAGAUGAAAGAAGUUGUUCGAAAACUCAAAUAUCGAGUAACGGUUCUCGAGAAUGAACGUGGAAGCCUAAAAUCAAUGUUGUCGACUAUAUUGAAACACCUUGAAGUUCAAAAAAAGGUUAGGAAUCAAAGUUUGUUUAACAUUUUCAAAGUUUGUUUAACAUUUUCAAAGUGUUCCUUACCAAUACAUUUUGACAUUUCCAAAGGGUGAAGAAGGAGACUGCACGGGAUUUGAAGGUCAUGAUGCCCAGAUCGAAGAUGUUGACACACCCGGUACACCUUCUUGGUUGAGGAUGCCAAAGGAGGAUGACACAAGUGAUGGGGUGAAACACGUUGAACUUCAAAAAAA
rnacentral:lncRNA from 1 species